rnacentral:rRNA from 1 species
UACGUAGGGAGCAAGCGUUGUCCGGAAUCAUUGGGCGUAAAGCGCGCGUAGGCGGCCCGGUAAGUCCGCUGUAAAAGUCAAAGGCUCAACCUUUGAAUGUCAGUGGAUACUGCCGGGCUAGAGUCCGGAAGAGGCGAGUGGAACUCCUGGUGUAGCGGUGGAAUGCGCAGAUAUCAGGAAGAACACCAACGGCGAAGGCAGCUCGCUGGGACGGAACUGACGCUAAGACGCGAAAGCGUGGGGAGCGAACAGG